AUAUAGCUCAGCGACAGAGUAUCUGCUUUGCUGGCAGAAGAUCUCAGGUUCAAUCCCUGGUAUCUCUA